rnacentral:rRNA from 1 species
UACAGAGGGUGCAAGCGUUGUUCGGAAUUAUUGGGCGUAAAGGGCGCGUAGGCGGUGCCACAAGUCACCUGUGAAAUCUCCGGGCUUAACUCGGAGCCUGCAGGCGAAACUGUGGUGCUGGAGUGUGGGAGAGGUGCGUGGAAUUCCCGGUGUAGUGGUGAAAUGCGUAGAUAUCGGGAGGAACACCAGUGGCGAAGGCGGCUUCCUGGCCUGUUCUUGACGCUGAGGCGCGAAAGCUAGGGGAGCAAACGGG